CCUACGGGUGGCAGCAGUAGGGAAUCUUCCACAAUGGGCGCAAGCCUGAUGGAGCAACACCGCGUGAGUGAAGAAGGGUUUCGGCUCGUAAAGCUCUGUUGUCGGGGAAGAACGUGCUUGCGAGUAACUGUUCACGAGGUACCGCUAACAAACCACCAAGUCCCGGCUUACUACGUGCCAGCCACCGCGGUAACACGUAGGCGGCAAGCGUUAUCCGGAUUGACUGGGCGUAAAGAGAGCGGAGGCGGGUGCUGAGGUCUGAGGUGAAAGCCCUGGGCUUAACCGAGGAAUUGCCUUGGAAACUGGGCUACUUGAGUGCAGAAGAGGACAGUGGAAUUCCAGGUGUAGCGGUGGAAUGCGUAGAUAUAUGGAGGAACACCAGUGGCGAAGGCGGCUGUCUGGUCUGCAACUGACGCUGAGGCUCGAAAGCAUGGGGAGCGAACAGGAUUAGAUACCCUUGUAGUC
rnacentral:rRNA from 1 species